rnacentral:misc_RNA from 1 species
CAUGACACACCACUAACUGGGAGCGACCGCUACGUUGACGGAUCAAACUCGAAAAGCGAUUGGUAUACGGGAGCGAUUCGAAGCGGUCUAAAAGAGCGCAUGUAGUCCCCCUCAGCUCUCGCUCGCACGACCAUCCCCUCUCCUCCCCCCCAGCAACACACACACACACACACAUACACAUAGGCCACAGGGAGAACGAUAGACGCGUACACGGGGCUGCACGCACACAUAGAACACACUGCAAUAGAAAGCACUGGCGAGAGGAAGAGUGUCAGUUAUGAUCAGUAACGGCUCUGCUGCUGCGGCUGUCGAGACACGCAGCGCGUGCCCCAUUACACGUACCCAUCAGCGCUUUCUUCUUCGUUCUCUGGAGUUCACGCAGCAGUAUGCACCCAUGUACCGAUGCCGAAUGGGGGCGCAAUACACGUCUGCUCUGCAUGCCAUCCAGCGCAUUGUGCGGGAGGACCCGAUGUAUGGUCCAGAGGCCGGGGCCAUGAAGCCCCGGCGCGUGCUUGAGCUGCAACCGGGCAUGCCAGCUGUGUGCGUCGGCAUUGUGUACAAGAACAUGAAGCUGCUGCCCCGCUUCCUUGAUGAGUAUCAGAGUGAGCUCGUCCGCAUUGACGCUGGCGAUGAUAACGAUGAGGAGAGCGGCGUCGUGGAGGCCGCGCCUCCCGAGAGAUCUGAGGAUGCUGCAGCCGCUGCAAUGCGCCUCGGCAAUGAGGCCGAAGAAGAUGCGAGCAACGACGGGCAAACGCUUGCCGCCGCCGAUGAGCACUACAGCGUGUGCAACAGCGCCGAUGAGCUGAUGUUGGAGGACAGCAGCGGCCGUGUCCUGCUGCAAGGACUCGAUGCCGAGCGCUUCUGCACCGGGGUUGUGCUGGGCGUCUACGGUACCCUGCUCCCCAAUGGCAGCAUUAAGGUGCUUCGCUACGCCUUCAGCGGGGACUUGCGCUUCACGUUUGUCCCGCGUCCGUUGAUUCGCGCCGCAAGCCCGUGCUACAUCGCGUUUGUGAGCGGACUGAGCAUCAACAUCCCACGUGGCAGUAGCAAGGAGGAGCAGGCCGCGGCGACUCGCGCGCGCGCCUCGCUGGAGCUGUUGGUGGAGUUCCUAUGCGGCAACACGGGCAACGCCUCCUUGCGAGCCAAGGCGAAGUGCGUCUCGCGACUGGUGAUCGGAGGUGACAGUAUUGCCCCCACUGACGAGCUGAAGCUCAAGAAGAAGGUGAAGCUCGACCCGUCUGACCACGUGCGGCUGAACGAUGACAAGGCACAAGCUAGCACGGUCACCUCCGCCGCGUUAAUGCGGCAGCUGGACACGCUGCUGGAGCGCGUUGUGCGCACCGUGGAGGUGGAGCUGAUGCCGGGCGCCAACGACAUGUCCGAUGCGUUUCAGCCGCAGCAGCCGCUGCAUCCCUUGCUGCUCCCCAAAGCUGGCAAGCACUCCACCCUGCGACUCGUCUCGAAUCCGUUCUGCUUCACUGCACAGCCGCCCGCCGCGGCCACCGCCGAGUUGGAGGUGAGGAGCGAGGAGCGCGUGGGGUCAGAGGCGAAGAAACACAAGGUCGAGGUAGCCGACGGUGUCAACUUCUUCGUGACGUCCGGGCAGAACAUAAACGACGUGGCCCGCGAGUCACGCUUCCCGACGCGGCUGGACGCCAUGUGCAUGGUGGUGGUGUCUGGCUGCGCCUGCCCGACAGCUCCCAACACGCUCUUCAGCUACCCUUUCUGCAACCACGACCCUUUCCUGUUCCAGCACACGCCGCAUUGCGUCGUGGCUUGCGAUCAGCCGCAGUUCGAGACGCGCUACGCAACGCUGGAGGAGCUGCACGAAGAGACUCACCGCAGCUUCACGGGUCCAGCUUCGCUAUCAGUGCAAUCGAAGGAGAAGCUGAGCGCCGCGUCUACGAAGGAUGAGGAGAAUAAGGCUGUCCCUGCAGAGGCUGGCGUGCGCCUGAUCUGCGUGCCGUCCUUUGCCCGCUCUGGGGCGCUGGUGCUGGUGGACGUGAACUCACCAACGCUGGAGACGAGUGUCGUGACCUUCUCGGUGCCGUGAGAUGAGGAGGGAGUGUGGGAGACGGCGGCAGGUGCGCGGUGUUUCUGUGCCGUUUGGGCCUUGCAUGUGUGCGGUGCUGAGGCCUUGCAUGAUGGCGUCAGUGCUGAGUUAUAGAUCGUCACAACGCUCGCGCAAGCAGGGCGGCAUAGUGGCGAGCAGCAGCGAUACUGAGGGGCUCCGCUUUGUGCGGAGGGCGUCUGCGUACCGAGUGCACAACGCCUGCACAGCCAUUGCGACGCAACCGCCGCUGUCAUCGCUGCUUUCUCUCCAUGGGGAGGGGUUUCGUUGCGUAUGACGGGGAGGAGGAGUGCUGUUUGGGAGGAGCGGUAGACUAUGGAAUUCGUGACGGCGGUGCUAGUGCUGCCCGUCCUUCUCUGCUCACUACCUCCUUCCCUGCCGUGCGCACAUAGGUGGGUAUGCACGUGAUGGAACUGAAGAACACCAACGAGAAAAGGAAAAAGAACACCCCGCUGAGCUCUCUCUCUCCCCCUUGCGCUUUGCGUGUGCGUAGGUGCGCCGCUUCUCCCCCGUGCUC